rnacentral:rRNA from 1 species
AGAACGACGUUAGCGGCGCGCUUAACACAUGCAAGUCGAACGAGAAAGGGCUUCGGCCCCGGUACAGUGGCGCACGGGUGAGUAACACGUGGGUAAUCUACCCUCGAGCGGGGGAUAACGUUCCGAAAGGAGCGCUAAUACCGCAUAAGACCACGCUCUCGAAAGGGAGCGAGGUAAAAGUAGGCCUCUGAAUUCACGCUUACACUCGAGGAUGAGCCCGCGGCCCAUCAUGGUAGUUGGUAGGGUAAUGGCCUGCCAAGCCGAAGACGGGUAGCUGGUCUUAGAGGAUGAUCAGCCACACUGGAACUGAGACACGGUCCAGACUCCUACGGGAGGCAGCAGUAGGGAAUAUUGGACAAUGGGGGGAACCCUGAUCCAGCCAUGCCGCGUGAGGGAAGAAGGUCCUCUGGAUUGUAAACCUCUUUUGGCAGGAAACAAACCUGCGCUAUACGCGCAGCUGAGGGUACCUGCAGAAUAAGCACCGGCUAACUCCGUG